CUUCCUCCACAGUCCACACCCCAGGCCCAACCCCAUACGCUGUCCCAACCUCUUCCUCCACAGUCCACACCCCAGGCCCAACCCCAUACGCUGUCCCAACCUCUUCCUCCACAGUCCACACCCCAGGCCCAACCCCAUACGCUGUCCCAACCUCUUCCUCCACAGUCCACACCCCAGGCCCAACCCCAUACGCUGUCCCAACCUCUUCCUCCACAGUCCACACCCCAGGCCCAACCACAGGUACAACCCCAGGCCCAACCCCAGUCCACACCCCAGGCCCAACCACAGGCCCAACCCCAAUCCACACCCCAGGCCCAACCCCAGGCCUAACCCCAGUCCACACCCCAGGCCCAACCCCAGUCCACACCCCUGGCCCAACCACAGACCCAACCCCAAUCCACACCCCAGGCCCAACCCCAGUCCACACCCCAGGCCCAACCACAGGCUCAACCCCAGUCCACACCCCAGGCCCAACCCCAGGCCCAACCCCAGUCUACACCCCAGGCCCAACCCCAGUCCACACCCCAGGCCCAACCCCAGGUACAACCAUUUUAAAACAUACAUUUCCAUACUUUUUUGCACAUACUGAUUGAAUUGUUAACUAUGUAUGCUGUUAGUAGAAUUGUACCUAAAAUGUCUGACAAUUUUUUGCCCUUGGAAGCCCGAAUGAAUAGACACCAUUAUCAUCGAGGACCACUUUGGAAACAAGUGUUUUAAUGUUUCAGUGUUAUCCUCUGCAAAUACACUGCACACCUUGCUGUAUGAUUUUAAACGAAAUAAAUUCACUUUAAAUUGGUGAAGGGUUACACAUCAAGUAAUAAAAUGUAAACUAGAGGACUCUUAUUGGCCAUUGACUAGAGUGUUCUUGUUAGGUUCAAACCUUCCAACUACCUUCCAAAGACGUCGAUCACCUGGGGGGAAAAACUAUGAGAAAAAAUCCACAGCUUGUGGAUACAUCUGUGGCGUUUCAGAGUUGAAGACGAGGGAUCAGGGGAAAUACUUUCAAGCAGUUCUACAGCAAGCGGAUAGGCCGAUGGACAUUCUCAUUUUGGAACCAGAGCAACGAAAAAGUUUUUCAGGAGCCGAGAAGAAGGUCUUCAGUUAAGCUGAAGAGAACCUCAUUUGAGAAACUUGGCAUAAACAAGUACAAAGAUGGAAUAAAGUUGAAACAAAUCCAAAUUGACUAUCGUGAAAGGCAAAAAGACUACAGAAGGAAGCCACUGCUGAGCAAAUAUAAGAAACAGUUUUAAUUAAAGAUGUUAGAACAUACUCUUUCACUGACAGUGUGUGGAGUUCAAUGUCCAGACCAAAGGGAAUUAAUGAAUUACCUAGCCUACAUUAUGUAAGUAGUUUUUUUUUAUUAGAAGUAGCCAUUAAAGCUGCACCGUAACAGCA
rnacentral:lncRNA from 1 species